UGUGCACAUACAUUCAUUAAGAACUAAUAAUUACAUGUGUGUACAUGCAGAGGUAUUUUAGUUAUUACAGCUACAUAGUUGUUCAGAUAUGAAAUUGGUAUUAUGUACAAGUACUAUAUUGGUCAGCACCGUGGAUUAUUUUAUAUACAGCUAUCAGUAAACAUCAGCAUCAAAGACAUUUAAAAACAUUUCAGCUUAAUUCAUUUUCAGACAGCACCGAGUGUUUUAAAUAACUUCUGUUUGUGAUCUAAUGUGGAUUUUGUUCACCAUAUAAGACAGAAAUAUUUAUAUUCAAUGUAAAAGAUCUUCAUGUGGAUCAUGCAUACAAAUAUAUACAAAUAUCUCACUGGAUUAUUACAAUGAAUUGCAAAAUGAAUGUGUGGAAAUGUAAACUAAUAUAUCCUACUGACACACUACAGCAAAAGAUAUAAAUAAUUGGCUUAAAACAAUUUUUUUUCAGUUAGAAAAUACUAACAUGCCUAAUACUUCUGCACAGUACUGUAUAUAUUCACAUUUUAUUAGUGGUAUUGUAAAAGAAUGAGUAUGCAGUUGUGACAACAAUCUAUAGAGUUUGUUUAAAGCAAGGUUGUCUGUAUUCAGUGUUUAUAUAAUGUUUAAUAACUUUAAAUACAUGUAUAAAUAAACCUAUGUAUGUUUUUGAUUCAACAGCUUCCCCUGGAAAUCCUCAGUGAAUUUUAUUUUGUCAGCGGGUGACUCUGCAUAUUUGACACUUUCUCUGUUUUGCAGAUGGUUUAGUGAUGUGCUUCACUCAAGAAGUUUUUCGGAAAGCGGCACAGUUUGCCUGGCUAGACAUUGUGGCCAACUGGAAGAAUUGUCCUCCUGUCUCCUGACCGGAACGAGUUCAGACGGAUGUACAGCAUCAGGGAACGCUUGCAGUGCAGAGCCCUUUUCAAGUUUUACCCACCAGGGUACAGGGAAGAGGCCGGUGUGGUGAUCUUCUGGGCUUUUGUUUACACGGGAUUUUGUUCCAAGGACUGUGUUUUUUUUUUUUUGUUUUUUUUUUUCUCGGCAUGUAACACAUUUGUGUGUUAAGUUCAUUGAAGGGAAAUAGUUGAACUGAGAUCAACUGGUUUUGAUGUAUUAAUUGAUGUCAUUUAAAGUUAAACUUUGCAGUGUAUAAUGUUUUAAUAAAAAAGCUAUGGCAAACACGUGCAUGACAA